rnacentral:rRNA from 1 species
CGGGUGGUAAUGCCGGAUGCUCCGGUUGGAUGCAUGUCCUUCCGGGAAAGAUCCAUCGGUAUGGGAUGGGGUCGCGUCCUAUCAGCUUGAUGGCGGGGUAACGGCCCACCAUGGCUUCGACGGGUAGCCGGCCUGAGAGGGCGACCGGCCACAUUGGGACUGAGAUACGGCCCAGACUCCUACGGGAGGCAGCAGUGGGGAAUAUUGCACAAUGGGCGCAAGCCUGAUGCAGCGACGCCGCGUGCGGGAUGGAGGCCUUCGGGUUGUAAACCGCUUUUGAUCGGGAGCAAGCCCUUCGGGGUGAGUGUACCUUUCGAAUAAGCACCGGCUAACUACGUGCCAGCAGCCGCGGUAAUACGUAGGGUGCAAGCGUUAUCCGGAAUUAUUGGGCGUAAAGGGCUCGUAGGCGGUUCGUCGCGUCCGGUGUGAAAGCCCAUCGCUUAACGGUGGGUCUGCGCCGGGUACGGGCGGGCUGGAGUGCGGUAGGGGAGACUGGAAUUCCCGGUGUAACGGUGGAAUGUGUAGAUAUCGGAAAAGAACACCA